rnacentral:rRNA from 1 species
UACGUAGGGUGCAAGCGUUGUCCGGAAUUAUUGGGCGUAAAGAGCUCGUAGGCGGUUUGUCGCGUCGAAUGUGAAAACCCGGGGCUCAACCCCGGGCCUGCAUUCGAUACGGGCAGACUAGAGUUCGGUAGGGGAGUCUGGAAUUCCUGGUGUAGCGGUGAAAUGCGCAGAUAUCAGGAAGAACACCAACGGCGAAGGCAGCUCGCUGGGACGGUACUGACGCUGAGACGCGAAAGCGUGGGGAGCAAACAGG